rnacentral:rRNA from 1 species
UACGGGGGGGGGCAAGCGUUGUUCGGAAUUACUGGGCGUAAAGGGCUCGUAGGCGGCCAACUAAGUCGGACGUGAAAUCCCUCAGCUUAACUGGGGAACUGCGUCCGAUACUGGAUGGCUUGGAUUUGGGAGAGGGAUGCGGAAUUCCAGGUGUAGCGGUGAAAUGCGUAGAUAUCUGGAGGAACACCGGUGGCGAAGGCGGCAUCCUGGACCAAUAUUGACGCUGAGGAGCGAAAGCUAGGGGAGCAAACGGG